UACAGAGGUCCCAAGCGUUGUUCGGAUUCAUUGGGCGUAAAGGGUGUGUAGGUGGCGCCGUAAGUCGGGUGUGAAAUCUCGGGGCUUAACUCCGAAACUGCAUUCGAUACUGCGGUGCUUGAGGACUGGAGAGGAGACUGGAAUUCAUGGUGUAGCAGUGAAAUGCGUAGAGAUCAUGAGGAAGACCAGUGGCGAAGGCGGGUCUCUGGGCAGUAACUGACGCUGAGGAGCGGAAAGCGUGGGGAAGCGAACAGG
rnacentral:rRNA from 1 species